GAUGAACGCUGGCGGCGUGCUUAACACAUGCAAGUCGAACGGAAAGGCUCCUGCUUGCAGGGGUACUCGAGUGGCGAACGGGUGAGUAACACGUGGGUGAUCUGCCCUGCACUUCGGGAUAAGCCUGGGAAACUGGGUCUAAUACCGGAUAGGACGAUGGUUUGGAUGCGAUUGUGGAAAGUUUUUCGGUGUGGGAUGAGCUCGCGGCCUAUCAGCUGGUUGGUGGGGUAAUGGCCUACCAAGGCGUCGACGGGUAGCCGGCCUGAGAGGGUGUACGGCCACAUUGGGACUGAGAUACGGCCCAGACUCCUACGGGAGGCAGCAGUGGGGAAUAUUGCACAAUGGGCGCAAGCCUGAUGCAGCGACGCCGCGUGGGGGAUGACGGCCUUCGGGUUGUAAACUCCUUUCGCUAGGGACGAAGCGCAAGUGACGGUACCUGGAGAAGAAGCACCGGCUAACUACGUG
rnacentral:rRNA from 1 species